UACGUAUGGAGCAAGCGUUAUCCGGAUUUACUGGGUGUAAAGGGUGCGUAGGUGGCAGUGCAAGUCAGAUGUGAAAGGCCGGGGCUCAACCCCGGAGCUGCAUUUGAAACUGCGCGGCUGGAGUACAGGAGAGGCAGGCGGAAUUCCUAGUGUAGCGGUGAAAUGCGUAGAUAUUAGGAGGAACACCAGUGGCGAAGGCGGCCUGCUGGACUGUUACUGACACUGAGGCACGAAAGCGUGGGGAGCAAACAGG
rnacentral:rRNA from 1 species